AUGCUUGGCAAUGGCACAAUUGCUGUGAAGAAGCUUAUCGAAAUGGUUGAUAUUGGUGAGAAGAAAUUCAGCGAAGAGGUUCGUUGUCUGAUGAAGGCAAAGCACAAAAAUAUAGUGCGGUUCCUGAGAUAUUGCUGUGAUACACAAGGGCAAAUGCUAGACUACGAGGGGAAACUUGUCUUGGCAGAAGUACGACAAAGGUUACUCUGCUUUGAAUAUCUACCUAAAGGGAGCCUUGAUAAGCAAAUCACCGAUGCAUCUUGUGGACUUGAAUGGAGAAAGCGCUAUCAAAUUAUCAACUGAAUUUGUGACGGUUUAUAUUAUCUUCACCAAAAACACAUCGUUCACCUGGAUCUUAAACCAGCAAACAUAUUGCUAGAUGUUAAUAUGGUGCCUAAAAUUUCUGGUUUUGGUCUUUCGAGGUGCUUUGAUGAAAAACAAAGUCAUGCUAUUGCUUCAAAACUGAUUGGAACUAUGGGAUAUGUGGCACCAGAAUUCUAUGCGCGCAGGCACAUCACAUUCAAGUUAGACAUAUAUAGUCUUGGCAUGAUAAUCAUAGAGAUACUAACAGGAGAGAAGGGAUAUGCUGAUAUUGAUAAUGUACUUGAGAAGUGGAAAAGUAGGUUGGAUCAAUCACAGGCAGACACACAACUGGUACAAGUACAAGUAUGUGCUGAGAUAGCAAUAGAGUGCACCGACUUUAACCCAGCAAAAAGACCAGAUACACUGCAUAUAAUGGAUAGACUUGGUGCAACAAAAACUGCAGAUGAGUCUGCUACUGAAACUGGGGCAAAAAUCCAGGUAAUUAAGCUUAGACAAAAAUCCAGUUAG
rnacentral:rRNA from 1 species